rnacentral:lncRNA from 1 species
CCCCAAGCAGCACUCGGUCAAGCCAGGACGUUUUACUAUCCCUCAGGACAACCCUCACAAAGCUACACUCAUGAAAGAUUCACUCACAAAUGAAAAGCUUACAAUGAACCUCACACCACUAAAACUACAAAUAUUCUUUUUGGAGUAUUUUCUCACUAAAAUCUCUCUAGAUCUUUUGUAUCUUCAGUGUGCCAAAGUUGUUUUAAGUGUCUGACCAAUCACUAUUUAUAUAGGACCAAGAAAGUGCCUCAUUAAUGCUUCCAACGGAUAGAAAGUAGCUGAACAGUCAACUAGCCGUUGGCAGUGUCGGACGUCCGAUAGCUCUGUUUUAUGCGUCCGACAGUAGGCAGAGAGUUUAAGACUUUUUCUUCAAUUCUUUCGGACGUCCGAUAGGCUGGUUUUCUGCGUCCGAAGGUAUGAUGUAGAACUGGAAAUUUUUCUUCAAUUCCUUAGGACGUCCGAUAGGCU